rnacentral:rRNA from 1 species
UACGUAGGGUGCAAGCGUUGUCCGGAAUUAUUGGGCGUAAAGAGCUUGUAGGCGGUUUGUCGCGUCUGCUGUGAAAUUUCGGGGCUCAACCCCGAACUUGCGGUGGGUACGGGCAGACUAGAGUGUGGUAGGGGAGACUGGAAUUCCUGGUGUAGCGGUGAAAUGCGCAGAUAUCAGGAGGAACACCGGUGGCGAAGGCGGGUCUCUGGGCAACAACUGACGCUGAGGAGCGAAAGCGUGGGGAGCGAACAGG